AAGUUCCUGAGCCAGGGAUUGAACCCAUGUCACAGCAGCGCCCCAAGCUACAGCAAUGACAGUGUUGGAUUCUUAGCCCACUUCACCACAAGGGAACGCCAGAAACUUCCUAUUUUUGAGAGCAUCACAUCUCUCAAUGCUCAUGACAUCACUGCAAAUGGGACAAUUUCUUCCAUUGUAUAGAUGAAGAAACUGAGACCAAGAGAGGAGAAUCGACCUGCCCAUGUUAUAUGGGAGCUGAGUUCAGCGCACGAAUGCUGACACAUUCAGCCAAGAACUGAGCUGGCUGAUGCUGAUGGGGAAACUGCUUUCUGCAUUCCUUCUGUGCAAAUGGAGCCUGACUAUUUGUUCUUCUUCCAGCUUCAGGCUCUGAACUCCAGGGAGAGACUGUUCUUUCUUGAUUCCCUGUGUGUGGAAUGGUCUUGCUGCAUAACAGGUGCUCAAUAAAUCUUUGUGGACUGAG